ACGGAAGGCAGCAGUGGGGAAUAUUGCACAAUGGAGGAAACUCUGAUGCAGCGACGCCGCGUGAGCGAAGAAGUAUUUCGGUAUGUAAAGCUCUAUCAGCAGGGAAGAAAAUGACGGUACCUGACUAAGAAGCCCCGGCUAACUACGUGCCAGCAGCCGCGGUAAUACGUAGGGGGCAAGCGUUAUCCGGAUUUACUGGGUGUAAAGGGAGCGUAGACGGCAAGGUAAGUCUGAAGUGAAAUGCCGGGGCUCAACCCCGGAACUGCUUUGGAAACUAUCUCGCUCGAGUACCGGAGGGGUAAGCGGAAUUCCUAGUGUAGCGGUGAAAUGCGUAGAUAUUAGGAGGAACACCAGUGGCGAAGGCGGCUUACUGGACGGUAACUGACGUUGAGGCUCGAAAGCGUGGGGAGCAAACAGGAUUAGAUACCCUGGUA
rnacentral:rRNA from 1 species